rnacentral:rRNA from 1 species
AUACGGAGGGUGCGAGCGUUAAUCGGAAUUACUGGGCGUAAAGCGCGCGCAGGCGGUUAGAUCAGUCGGGUGUGAAAGCCCCGAGCUUAACUUGGGAACUGCAUUCGAUACUGUCUAGCUAGAGUAUGGUAGAGGGAAGCGGAAUUCCGGGUGUAGCGGUGAAAUGCGUAGAUAUCCGGAGGAACACCAGUGGCGAAGGCGGCUUCCUGGACCAAUACUGACGCUCAGGCGCGAAAGCGUGGGUAGCAAACAGGAUUAGAUACCCCGGUAGUCC